rnacentral:rRNA from 1 species
UACGUAGGGUGCAAGCGUUGUCCGGAAUUACUGGGCGUAAAGCGUGCGUAGGCGGUUUGUUAAGUCUGCUGUGAAAUCCCCGGGCUCAACCUGGGAAUGGCAGUGGAUACUGGCAAGCUAGAGUGUGUCAGAGGAUGGUGGAAUUCCCGGUGUAGCGGUGAAAUGCGUAGAGAUCGGGAGGAACAUCAGUGGCGAAGGCGGCCAUCUGGGACAACACUGACGCUGAGGCACGAAAGCGUGGGGAGCAAACAGG